rnacentral:lncRNA from 1 species
AAGAGUGGGGGGAGGUACAUCCCUAGAAACACUUAAAGAAGAAAGUCAGUCAAGACGUAUUCUACCUUCGACUUUUGAAGCCAACCGUUUGAAGAAAAGCAACUAGGGGUUUUUAUUUAUUGAGAUUGUGGGCGGGACUCUGGUGGCUGUAUGCUGUAGCUAUGCCAUUUAUAGCACCAAUCCUCUCAAAAGUCUGUUUGCCUUUUGUACCUGCAACUACAAAGCAGAUAAAAAAUGUGAAAAUGUUGCUAUGCAGAGGAGGAUCCCUGGUAGACAUUGGUAAUGGCGAUGGACACAUUAAUAACACAGUAAUAACAGCUGCAAAGGAAAGAUUCACAGCAGUUGGUUGUGAAUUAAAUCCGUGGCUAGUUUGGUAUUCCAAGUAUCACGGUUGGCAAGAAAGUGUGCAUGGCUCUGCCAAAUUUUAUAUUUCAGAUUUGUGGGCAGUUACUUUUUCAUAGUACUCAAACACUUAUUUUUGGUGUGCCUCUCAGAUGAUGCUGCAGUUGGAGAAGAAACUUGAACUUGAGGAUGAUGCCAGAGUCAUUGCUUGCCGGUUCCCUUUCCCCCACUGGACCCCAGACCAUGUAACCAGGGAGGGGAUAGACACAGUGUGGGCAUAUGACGUGUGCACUUUUAGAGCAGGUGAAGCCCUGAACAUCGAUGCAUUUCCAGCCAGUCAUUCAAAUAU